UUGGCCAAGUCAAAAUGCUACCCUGCAUGUGCACCUUCUUAUCUUUCCACCUCGAAUUGAUGUGGUAAAUCUUUAACACACACCUCUGCGCUGCCAGUCAGUCAGUCAUUAGAGGGACAGGAUGGAGUUCAGUCCAAUUCCUGUGAUGCUCUGGCUGAUUUCACUUAUACCAGCAGCACAAGCUGAAGACUGUAAAGCUGUUGUGUCCAUAAAACCUGCUGCGCAUGUGUUCACUGGAGACAGAGGUGUUACUUUCAGAUGUGACAUACAGGGACUAACCACUGAGUGGACAUACAGCUGGUAUAAGAAUAAUACUCUACUCUACCAAGAGGGAGAAGGUAGAGGCAGUAAAGGCAGCACAACACAAGAGUUUAUAAUCAAGUCUGUUAAAGCCUCUGACAGUGGUAACUACACCUGCAGAGGACAUAUUGGAGACUCUCAGAGCUCGGAGAUCAGUGAUGCAGUUACCCUGACUGUAUCAGAGAGACCACAGGCAGUAUUGAGUGUAUCUCCACACAGCUGGCUGACUGAAGGAGACUCAGUGACUCUAAGCUGUAAAGUUACAAACUCCUCGACAGACUGGACAUUCAGCUGGUACACAGUUGUUCCCUACAGCGACAGUGAAGGUGCUAUCAGACCUACUCCAGUGCUCCUGUCAGAUAGCAGCAGAGGAUCUGGAGGCUCCUACACUCUCAGUUAUACUGCUAUUAAUCACACAGCUGUUUAUAGGUGCAGAGGAGAGAGAGUAGAACCAGCCCGUACCUCAAAGUACAGCAAUCUAAAACCACUAUGGAUCACUGGUGAAUCUCCUCCAGUCUCUCUGAUCAUCAAUCCCAGCAGAACUCAACACUUUACUAAAGACUCUCUCUCACUGAGCUGUGAGGACCAGAGUAAGUCUACUGGAUGGACAGUGAGACGAUACACACACAGUGAGAGAGUGUUAGAUUGUUCACACUGGGGAUCAGUUACAGGAUCUACAUGUAACAUCAGCUUCCUCUCCACAUCCUACACUGGAGUUUACUGGUGUGAGUCUGAAUCUGGAGAAAACAGUAAUCCUGUCAACAUCACAGUGCAUGAUAGUGAUGUGAUCCUGGAGAGUCCUGUCAAUCCUGUGACUGAGGGACAUCCUCUGACUCUACGCUGUUUAUAUCACAACCCAAAUUCCUCAAACCUCCGAACUAUUUUCUAUAAAGAUGGAUCAGUUAUCCAGAACCAGACUACAGGAGAGAUGAUCAUCCAAACUGUCUCAAAGUCAGAUGAAGGUUUCUACCAGUGUAAACAUCAACAGAGUAGAAAGUCACUGAAAAGCUGGGUCUCAGUCAGACGUCCUAGGUCCACUAGCAGAACAGUAGGACUGGCUUUGGGACUUAGUUUGGCGUUUUUGUUCAUUUUAUUAAUCUUCCUGCUGUGGUUCUACAAAAUAAAGAAAGGUUUGAAAAGCAGAAAACCAAUCAGACAUCAGAACUGAAUCAGAACCGGUCAGGAGCUGAAAACUCUCAGUCAGGACACACACGACUUCAGGCUGAUGCAGAUGCUGAACACAGUGUUAGUGAUGUGACUUACGCUACUAUUGAAAUAAAACCGAAGAAAAACUCAGAAACAAAUAAAGAAAAAGCCAGUGUGGGCGUUCAUACUGUAUACUCAGAGCUGAAGCUGGGUGUGAAGGUGGCACUGGACCGAGCUUGAAUAUCUGGACACUUCCGCUAUGGUGUGCAGGGGUAGCUGUGCCAGAGCCGGAAACAGUUUUGAUCAGAAUGGUGUGUGUGUGUGUGUGUGUAUAUAUAUACACACACACACACACUCACGCAUAUUCUUAUAUAAUUGCAUAUAUUUAAAUAUCUAUUCAAAUAUAAGUAGUUACUUCCAUCAUAGAAUGACGUUUUAGAUGAAUUGGAAUGUUUGGGAAAGAGGUAUUUGAGAGGCAUGAUUGCAAAAUGCAAACACAUUAACACACACACACAAAUUAAAUUAGUACAGUUGAACACAGGUGAUUCCAACAUCAGGCCAUCCUUGGCUCCACCCUCCUUUCACAAACCAGCACUUCACCACUCCCCACACUUCCACAGAUGUUUUCUACAUCAAAGGAUUUAUAUAUAUUAUAGAAGAAAUAGUUAUAUCGUUAACUAUGAGUGUUUUAUCUGCGUGUCAAAAUGUUUUCUUUUUUAUUGCUUAUUUUAUUUAAUUGUGCAUUAAUACAUUCUACUUUUUGGGAAAUUAUUUACUAGAAAUUUUAAUCUAUUUUCCUACUUUGACUACAGUGUGUAGUUCAUCACAUCGACUAUGGAUUAACUGUAAUGACCAGAAUAAUCUGAGAUAGAAUUACAUCUUUGAGUCAUUUAUCACACUCUCUAUUUUUGCUUUUAGACAUCAUUUUUUUCAUUGUUCAUCUUGAAAUGUUCAUCUUGUUACCUGUCUUUAAAUAAAGGCCACGUUGUUUGA